rnacentral:rRNA from 1 species
AUGCGGCCCCGGUUUCUGCCCCGUCCGACUUCAAUCCCCACCUCAUUCCUCUCCUCAUGUCUCGCCACCGGCGCCGCGCCGCCGCCGCCUCGUCUCCUCCUCCUCGUCCGCCUCAACGCGCCUCGACCUACUUCUUCCACCGCAUGCUCGUACGGCUGCGGCAGUAAGGGACGACGUUGUGUUUGCACGGUCUCUCAAAUCGCUGGAUCUUGGGGUGCGGAGCCCUUUUUCGCCAUCCAUGGAAGUUUCUUCGCCAGAAACCUGCGGUUCAGGGCGACGGCGAUGACGGCGGCUGCUGCCGUGCGAACCGCCGCGCCUAAUUCUGCCGAAAGUGGGGAGCAGAGCAGCAUUUCCAGCUGUGAGAUUGCAGAUCAUUUUGUGGUGGAUCUUGUCACAGAUGGCCAUGACAUGCCAGGGCAGUUCCAAGAGGUGGACAGUUCAUUACCUGAACUAGGUGGAUGA